UUUAUCAAAAACAUGGCCUUUUGAUACUAUUUAAGGUCUGGCCUGCUCAAUGAUUUUUUAAAUAGCCGCGGUAUUUUGACCGUGCAAAGGUAGCAUAAUCAUUAGUUUUUUAAUUGAAAGCUGGUAUGAAGGGUUAGAUGAGAAAAAUUCUGUCUCUUGGAAAUUUUAUUAGAAUUUUAUUUUUAAGUAAAAAAGCUUAAAUAAUAUUUAAAGACGAGAAGACCCUUUAGAGUUUUAUAGAAAAUGGGAUAAUUUUAUGGGUUAGUAUGAAUAAUUUAAUUUUUUUAUUUUUAUUUAAUUGGGGUGAUUGAAAAAUUUCAUAAACUUUUUCUAAUUUAGUACAUUAAUUUAUGAAUAAUUGAUCCAUAUUUAGUGAUUAUAAGAAUAAAUUACCUAAGGGAUAACAGCGUUAUUUUUCUUGAGAGUUCUAAUCGAAAGAAAAGAUUGCGACCUCGAUGUUGGAUUAAAAUUAAAUUAUGGUGCAGUAGUUAUAUGUUUAGGUCUGUUCGACCUUUAAAAUUUUACAUG
rnacentral:rRNA from 1 species